UACGUAGGGGGCAAGCGUUGUCCGGAUUUAUUGGGCGUAAAGAGCGUGUAGGCGGCCAGAUAGGUCUGGUGUGAAAACUUGAGGCUCAACCUCAAGAGGUCACUGGAAACCAUUUGGCUAGAGUCCGGAAGAGGAGAGUGGAAUUCCUGGUGUAGCGGUGAAAUGCGCAGAUAUCAGGAAGAACACCUAUGGCGAAGGCAGCUCUCUGGGACGGUACUGACGCUGAGACGCGAAAGCGUGGGGAGCAAACAGG
rnacentral:rRNA from 1 species